UCAGGCCUAACACAUGCAAGUCGAGCGGAAACGAGUUAUCUGACCCUUCGGGUGACGAUAACGGCGUCGAGCGGCGGACGGGUGAGUAAUGCCUGGGAAAUUGCCCUGAUGUGGGGGAUAACCAUUGGAAACGAUGGCUAAUACCGCAUAAUAGCUUCGGCUCAAAGAGGGGGACCUUCGGGCCUCUCGCGUCAGGAUAUGCCCAGGUGGGGUUAGCUAGUUGGUGAGGUAAGGGCUCACCAAGGCGACGAUCCCUAGCUGGUCUGAGAGGAUGAUCAGCCACACUGGAACUGAGACACGGUCCAGACUCCUACGGGAGGCAGCAGUGGGGAAUAUUGCACAAUGGGCGCAAGCCUGAUGCAGCCAUGCCGCGUGUAUGAAGAAGGCCUUCGGGUUGUAAAGUACUUUCAGCAGUGAGGAAGGUGGGUAUGUUAAUAGCAUACUCAUUUGACGUUAGCUGCAGAAGAAGCACCGGCUAACUCCGUGCCAGCAGCCGCGGUAAUACGGAGGGUGCGAGCGUUAAUCGGAAUUACUGGGCGUAAAGCGCAUGCAGGUGGAUGAUUAAGUCAGAUGUGAAAGCCCGGGGCUCAACCUCGGAAUAGCAUUUGAAACUGGUCAUCUAGAGUACUGUAGAGGGGGGUAGAAUUUCAGGUGUAGCGGUGAAAUGCGUAGAGAUCUGAAGGAAUACCGGUGGCGAAGG
rnacentral:rRNA from 1 species